CUAGACUGGGAUUGAACCCUAGACUGGGAUUGGAACCCUAGACUGGGAUUGUUACCCUAGACUGGGAUUGGAACCCUAGACUGGGAAGUGUUAUGCUAUGGUUUUAUCUGAUUGAGCUAGCAGCUCAACGAAAGUGGCCUGGCCAAGCUGUAUGUGGCAGGGUUAAAAUCUUAAGAGUGUAUAUAGUAAGUUUUAAUUCUAAGUGUUGUAUUAUUUUAUUAGCAUCAAUUAGCAUCAUCAUCAGUGCAUCAUUUUACCUUUCACCAAGCACAAUGUGUUGUCCAAGUAUUGUCCAUGUAUAUGUCAUUGUGUGUGUAUUUACCUGUAGCUAGAGUGAUCUGAAAGGUGAGCGUGUGUGAGUGGUGGUGAGCCCACUUUACCUGUAUAGGUAUAAGUGGAACCUUCUAAUUGGUCACCUGACAUAAGAUGAUGAUACCAUUGGUUGAGAUAAUGAACUAAACAUAUCUUGGAGAAGCCACUUGGGCCUACUAUUCUACUACGUUUUGCUGAACCUGGACAUAGCUUCAUACUCCUGACCCUGGGUCGACUGAAUAUUGAUUACAUUCCGGAAGAGUCUAGGAAUUCGGCCCAUAGCCAGAAUUCAGGAUAUACAUGUAAAAGAUGAAACGGACAGAUAUUGAUUCAUGGAAUUUGAUGAUAUAAGUGCAAGAAUAAACAUGAACUGAUUUGUACAGUCUUUGUAUCCAUUGGAUAAGAGCGACGACCUUGCCGUCUUUCCAGUCGACCCUACUGUAGUUGGUUGCAAGCCACCUAGGGGAGGUGU